GCGGGUAUAGUUAAAUGGUAUAACCACUCGGUUUAGGUUCACAAGUAGCUUGUGCACGACCCGAGAGUUACAAGUUCAACUCUUGUUACCCGCG
rnacentral:tRNA from 1 species